rnacentral:tRNA from 1 species
CAGGGAGACAACACAAUGAUUUUGAUGCCUGAGUGCUUUUAUUCUUAGGCCGAAAUCCUGUCACCUUAGGUCGAUCGGUACCUCAGCUUGGAAGUCAAGGAUCAGCAGCAAUGUUGAUUGCUUGAUGGAGAUUUUCAGUUCCUAAACUUUGUCUAGGUCACACCCCAAAAGGGAUGAGACUCCUGGGCCAUUAGCUCAGGUGGUUAGAGCGCACCCCUGAUAAGGGUGAGGUCCCUGGUUCAAGUCCAGGAUGGCCCAUUCGGUGUUGGGGGUUUAGCUCAGUUGGUAGAGCGCCUGCUUUGCAAGCAGGAUGUCAGGAGUUCGAGUCUCCUAACCUCCACUGACCGAACUUGAUCCCCAUCUCCAAUUUUUUUGGAGUUGAGUUCGAUUGGAGUGUGAUUUAGAUGUGUCCGCUGGAUGACCCCAGCUUCCUGUCAUUCCAAGUUUUAGAUUUUAAGUCUUUAAUUUGGUUGAUAAGAUGCUGGGCUCGGAUCAAAUGAUCAAGCAAUUGAUGAUUUGAUUUGAAGUUCUAGCAGAACCUUGACAACUGCAUAGGUGAGUCUGGAAAAAACAAAGCAUCUUACAGAUGCAUUGUUUUGAAUCUGAUCUUCUGAAAGGGAGAUUGGAUCUAGAACAAUGAAAAUUCUUUUGAGCAAGAGCCGAGACUCUUGAGCGUUCUUUGAUUGGUGUCGAGCCAAUCAGAGUUUGAUCUUGUUUUUAGCAAUAAAAACUUGAGAAUCUGCUUUCAACGGCGGUAAGCGUUCAGGAGGUUAAUU